ACUUAGAUAACUUAUAUUAGAGUAUUAUAUUGAAGCUAUAAAGGAGAUAGUUAUAUCUUUAAGUA
rnacentral:tRNA from 1 species